GAUGAACGCUAGCAGCAGGCCUAACACAUGCAAGUCGAGGGGUAGAAGCUUUCGGGCUUUGAGACCGGCGCACGGGUGCGUAACGCGUAUGCAAUCUGCCUUGUACUGAGGGAUAGCCCAGAGAAAUUUGGAUUAACACCUCAUAGUAUUUUUGCCUGGCAUCAGGUGAUUAUUAAAGGUUACGGUACAAGAUGAGCAUGCGUCCCAUUAGCUAGUUGGUAUGGUAACGGCAUACCAAGGCUACGAUGGGUAGGGGUCCUGAGAGGGAGAUCCCCCACACUGGUACUGAGACACGGACCAGACUCCUACGGGAGGCAGCAGUGAGGAAUAUUGGUCAAUGGGCGCAAGCCUGAACCAGCCAUGCCGCGUGCAGGAUGAAGCAUCUAUGGUGUGUAAACUGCUUUUGUACGGGAAGAAACACUGCUACGUGUAGCAGCUUGACGGUACCGUAAGAAUAAGGAUCGGCUAACUCCGUGCCAGCCGCCGCCGUAAUAC
rnacentral:rRNA from 1 species